UGGGUAAGGACGCCUUACUGUGGACCAUUAACUGUCCACUGUGUGCUGUUAUCCUUUGCACCUAUCAAUCAAGUGGAUCUACCUCUGCACCUGAUCCACUGCAGUAGCCAGGCUGUCAUAGUUGGGUUUUCAGGUACCCACUUGGUGGUAGCCCCCUGACAGUGCAGGGAUUGCAUGCGAUGCCCAAGCUGUAACCUCCUCCUGUCAGCCAAGAAGUAGGUGCAUUUCGACUUCAAGGUACUGGGACUCUGGGCAAUAGCUACUAUGCCAGGUGGAUGUGUUGCCUAUGAAUUGGCAGAACCACCCAAACUGAUGUUGCUGGACCCUGUUUGUGAUUGGCAAUGGAGUCCUUCCAUAUGAGCCCUUUCCAGAGCCUCUGGGUGGAAGCCAGUGUCCCCCACUGCAGGUUAAACAACAGCUGCUUCUUGCUAAUUACACAGUCACAAUGUGUAAGAUGUCUACUCACUCAUGUCACUCAACUCUUUUCCACAACCAACAGUUCAGACUGAUAGUGCACCACACAAAACUGGGUAGACCAGCUGGGAUCUGACUUGAUAUUCUAUUGAAGGGCCUCCAACAGCCUCCUUUACUGUGUGUUUCUAGCGUCCCUCUUGACGCCCACCAUGAUCUGUACCAUGUCCUGUGAUAUGGAUGGACCUCUUUUGCGUCCCCAAGAAGGAUGCUGAUCCUACUCUUCUCCGACGUUUUGUUCGAUCCUCCACGAUUGUUCUAAUUCGGUAUGCAUCUACAUCUAGAUGGACAGAUUGAAAUUGACAGGGUUGGUUAUGCCUUUGCACGCGUAAGGGGAUACGAGAAGCAGUCUCGGCCAAGUGCCUGCAGUGUAUAACUGCAGAGUUGGUUGCCAUAUUUCAGGCCUUGAGGCUUGCCAUGACAAACUUUCUGAUCUGCAGUGACUCCAUGAGUUGCUUGAAAGGCAUAUCCCUGUGCUAUCCCAAAAAUCUUGUGGUUGCCAAUAUCUGGGACGUACUGGUUGACCUCUACAGCUCUGGAAACACAGUGACCUUCAUCUGGACCCCAAGACACACAGGUAUUCCCAGAAAUGAACUUGCUGACUGUCUCUUUAAAGACACCAUUACAGCAUAUCAACUAGGAACUUCAGAAUACAGGGCUCAGAUUUACAAUUACAACUUCAAUGCAAUAUUUUUAGGCUCGGGGAAUUAGAAUGGCAGGCUACUAUGACCCAAAACAUGUUAGGAGCAGUUAAGGGGUCCACUAAGGUGUGGCAUACAUCUUUCCAGGCCUCUCGGAAAGAUGCCAUUGUGUUGUGCAGACUAAACAUCAGCGACAAGAGACUCGUCGAUGAGUUCCAUCUGCAUUGGGAGGAUCCUCUUCACGGAAUCUGCAGCUUUACUUAACUGAGUCCAAGGAAAGUCCAAUAAGUUUCUGGUUCGAUAUGAGUGCACACCUGAUGUACUUUCAAACAUAUGAACAUUCUGUUCGGUAUGUGUAAUGGACUGUCAGGACCGGCAUGUCUCCUAGUGUACUGGCUUACCAUUGGUGAAGUAACAUUGGCUGGAGUAGAAUUCACAUGUACAAAUGUGAGAAUGGACAGCAAAGGAAGUAUACAAAGUUUUUGUGUAUAUAGGAUUUCAUGCUCUACUUCCAGAAUUAUA